GGUGCCUGGACAUAAGUGUGAGCCUUUUUUGCUUUCCUUCACUGCGGUUCUUUGGAUGUGGUUUCAACGGCAGAUGAUUGGCGGCCAGUUACAACGUGACUUGCUGAAGACGAGUCACUGGAUCUCAGUCCCUCUAGUACAGUAGGUGAGCUUCUUCCUGGUGGUAAUAACUGCUCUGUGCUCUCCACCACUCCAUCUCGUACCCCAUCUCGUCCUUGAGCUGAGCUGAAAUAGAGAGCUCUCACGCGCUUUGUCUUCUCCGUUGGGGUUGGACGAUUCCUUGCAUUUGCGCCGCCGCCCUGGCCCUGCGCAGCGGCGAGUGAAGCUAAGCCUCGGUGAGCAUCGAUCCAGCGCGGUGGUGCUCACUACCUGUUCGACGGGUUGUCCAGCUAUUUUUGCAAGGCCAGGAAAGCAUCCAUGCCCGGCAGCGAGGAUCGGCUCAGCGCUCCUCCAGCACGCCCUUGGCUUCCUGCCGGCGAAUGACGCGGUCCGGACAAGCGUGCUGGCCGGCCGCUGGCGCCACGCCUGGAGAUCCAUCCGCCGCCUGCACAUCAGCCCCAAGGACGGGUGGGACAGGCCCCAACAUCUCAAGGAUUUCUUGGACGCUCUGCUGCCCCCCGGCGACCAUGGCGUGCUGCAAAGGAGGUGAGCUGGGGCAGUGCUGUGGCAGCUGUGCAGAAUGUACUGGUGACGAUGACCAUAGCGGCCGCUGCGUGCUUCUUGGAGGCUUGUCGGCUGCUGUGAAUUUGGAGCUGGUAGCUCACGCUGGAAUGGCCGGAGGAAGGAGACGAACCGAGUGUAAGGGGAGACGAGAGAAAUACUUACAUGUGUCCAUCCAUGGCGUCAGAGCAGCAGGAGAGCGGCGUCCCAGGAGGGAAAGAAGGAAGCACACGGAGCACCUGCACGCGCGCACAUCAGGGAGGGGAGCGGCUCCAAUCGAAACCUGUUCAGAUAGCAUAGCAACACACACAGUGGUUAGUGGAGACGGUAGAAAAGUUAAACAACAGACAUACGGAUUGCUGUGGAAAUUUGCAGGAGAAUCAUUGUCUGUCGCAUACAUGGCUAGAAUAAUUUUCAGGUGCAUAUACUGCGGCACCCUUUCGAAAAAACACAUGUUAAAUAUGCACCUUUUGAGAACAUUUUCAUUUGUGGUUCUAUAUUAGCUGCUGAUACAGGUAAAGAAGUGUAUCAUAUAUGAUGUUAGUCUGAAACCACCAUCGCCCAUUAUGAAAAAAAAUAGCUUGAGAGGUGAUAAAGAAUUAUUUCAAGAGUUAUUACAUGGUCUGGGAAUGCAACCGUCUCAGAUUUGAAUGUGUCUAGAAGAUGAAUGUAUCAUCAUCAUCUUAGAGUUAGCAAAACAUCACCAUCGUGGUGGUGGGUUGUCAGGUUAGCAACGCUGCACUUUAUUAGAAUAUAAAGAAGGGUAUGUUUCUAAAAUGCUUAAAAUAUGGAUGUCAGCUGCCCUUAGCUUUGCUUCCAACAGUUUGAAUGGAGGAAAUGUGAAGUAGUAACCCCACCUUACUAGCGCACAUAGCAAGGCCGAAAGUCAGGCGGAGAAUGCAGUGCAAGUUACAGAGGUGUAUUAGGUGUUGACAAUUAAGGCCAACUGUAGGACACAUUCAAUUUGGCAGUGUCUUGAGCAUACAUAACACAAAUACACAUGCUGAUGAUGUAUUUGAAGAAAGCAAGACUACAAAUUGUGAGUCAAACAGAGUUCAACAAGUCAUCAGUAUACUUCCCUUUUAUCCCAAAAAGAAG
rnacentral:rRNA from 1 species